UCUCGAAAUGUUUCGCCUUCAUUAGUGAAAAGUAAGUCACCUGGCUAUGGCGCUUCUGCGUUGCGCCCUUGCCUUUCUUACUACCAUUGCGUACGGCUAUGCUGCCCCACAAACGCAACCAGGAUUUUGCCUUGAGCGACCGAUUAAAGCUGGAUGUCGCGAAAUAAAGGAAUUAUGGUAUAUUGAUCCUCGCACCAAAACAUGCAUCCCGCAACGCCAUGUGCUUUGCGGUGGAGGGCAAGGUUUCUUUCAUUCAAGGCAGGCAUGCAUUCAGUGCCAACGUAAUCUGGGGAAGAAGGGUCCCCAAGCAUGCCCUCCAAACCCCUUCCUCGGUGGUUGCCAACCGACUACACACAGAUGGUACUACGACCACGAUUACAAGACCUGCCGGCCGUUUCAAGGCGGAGAAUGUAGUAGAGGGCUAAAUCAUUUUCCAACUGAAUAUAGGUGCAGGGAGACGU